rnacentral:misc_RNA from 1 species
AACGCAUAUUGCGCUCAAGGCUUCGGCCGAGAGCAUGUCUGCCUCAGCGUCGGGUUAAUAUCAUCCCAACUCCUUCAUUUUUGUGAUGGACGGACGGAUGGAUCUGGUGGUCCCGAGCCGGGCGACCUUUCUCUCUCUCUCUUCAGAGUUAGGGAGCUUAGGGCGCGUUCAAGGUUGUUUGGGUCCGCUGAAGUCUAGAGGAUAGCGCAAAGGACCCGUUAUGACGGGCCGCAACUGGGUAGGCAGCUUCACAGCUCGCUGAAACGCUUAGUUGUUGGCACCUAGGGACCGCGUCGUUUUCCCUCAAUCAGGAACCCUUUUUUAUUUUCUCGACCUGAGCUCAGGCAAGAACACCCGCUGAACUUAA